rnacentral:tRNA from 1 species
GUGAAUUUAGUUUAAAAGAAAACAUUUGAUUCGCAUUCAAAAACCCUAAUUUAAGCCUUAGAACUCACA